UAUUAAAAAAUUCAUCAAUUUCUACUGUUAAAAAUGGGCGUGACUGAUAGAAUAACCAAAUAGUUACACAUGGCGCACCACGUGUACCUCAUUUUGACAUACAAAGACUAACUUUUAACGGUAUAAAUUGAUAAAAUUUUUAACA
rfam:Gossypium hirsutum cultivar TM-1 chromosome 6, whole genome shotgun sequence